rnacentral:rRNA from 1 species
AUUGAACGCUGGCGGCAUGCUUUACACAUGCAAGUCGAACGGUAACAGCACUUCGGUGGCUGACGAGUGGCGAACGGGUGAGUAAUACAUCGGAACGUGCCUAGGAGUGGGGGAUAACUACUCGAAAGAGUAGCUAAUACCGCAUGAGAUCUAAGGAUGAAAGCAGGGGACCUUCGGGCCUUGCGCUACUAGAGCGGCUGAUGGCAGAUUAGGUAGUUGGUGGGAUAAAAGCUUACCAAGCCGACGAUCUGUAGCUGGUCUGAGAGGACGACCAGCCACACUGGGACUGAGACACGGCCCAGACUCCUACGGGAGGCAGCAGUGGGGAAUUUUGGACAAUGGGCGCAAGCCUGAUCCAGCAAUGCCGCGUGCAGGAUGAAGGCCUUCGGGUUGUAAACUGCUUUUGUACGGAACGAAAAGCCCUCUUCUAAUACAGGAGGGUCAUGACGGUACCGUAAGAAUAAGCACCGGCUAACUACGUG